rnacentral:rRNA from 1 species
GACGAACGCUGGCGGCAUGCCUAACACAUGCAAGUCGAACGAGACCUUCGGGUCUAGCGGCGCACGGGUGCGUAACGCGUGGGAACCUGCCCUUAGGUUCGGAAUAACUCCCCGAAAGGGGUGCUAAUACCGGAUAAUGUCUUCGGACCAAAGAUUUAUCGCCUUUGGAUGGGCCCGCGUUGGAUUAGCUAGUUGGUAGGGUAAAAGCCUACCAAGGCGACGAUCCAUAGCUGGUCUGAGAGGAUGAUCAGCCACACUGGGACUGAGACACGGCCCAGACUCCUACGGGAGGCAGCAGUGGGGAAUAUUGGACAAUGGGCGAAAGCCUGAUCCAGCAAUGCCGCGUGAGUGAUGAAGGCCUUAGGGUUGUAAAGCUCUUUUACCCGGGAUGAUAAUGACAGUACCGGGAGAAUAAGCUCCGGCUAACUCCGUG